GGGGGGACAUAUAAAAAGAUCUCCCCUUCCUUCUCUUUGGUUGCAAAAUUUUCUUGAUCCGCCACCAAAAAAAAAAAAAAAAAAAAAAAAAAAAAUCUUGAAAGGAACUUCUCGGGUCAUUCCGUAAGCUCGGGAAUAUGAAUGUGUUGUAUUUCACUUGCCGGAAAGACUCGAGAAUGUACGAUUGCUAAAACAAGAGUUGUCUUUCUUGAUGAAGCAGAAGACACUUGCGGCGAAAACGAAGAUGGAUGCCGAAUCAGCGUGAUCAGACAGAAAGCUUAUAUUUGCGGAUACUUAGCGAAAAUGACUGUCGGGUACAGUACUAUGACACAAUUUGUGAGGCCAAUCAGCCAGCAACGUCCACCAUUUCUGGACACCCAUUGUCCGAUUUCACCACGACCUGGUGUACAUCUUUUAAAUGUGGAACUGUGACUAUUCACGGUGGUGACUGAAGUCUGGUCAGUCGGCAGGCAGCAGUACUCAAUUUACCGCAUUCCUACAAUCCAACUGAAAUUACGGGUAUUCAGAAUCGGCCUUUAAACAGUUGAUGAAGCCCGCCCUGGUAGAUGGAAUCUGCCGCUUGACCAGCAGCACUGUCCAGAGACAGUGGUUGAUGCUGGAUAUAUGACUUUUCCUCAGCCCAUCAUUACCUGCUGGAGUGCUGGUAGAGGCUGAACGCUUUAAUAAAUAUAACUGUGAUCUUGCUGAGAUGUAGUAAUCCAUGGGAAUUUUCCAAAGAAGAUUCAAGAGAACUUUCUGGACCUUAAGAUGUUGACACCCUGCUGAUGGAGCAGAAGCAGAAAGCAGUUCUCUUACCAUCAGAUCUGAUCCAUUUUUGGAGAUAGCCUUUUGUAUGGAGCUGGGUAGCGGUUACUGGAGACGUGCUGUUGAUUGAUGAGGAUAAUUUUCCCGAGACUCUGACAUAUAUUGCAGGACCUGGAUAGCUCUACUGGUGUUCAAAAUGCCAGGACUGUGGAGUGUUGUGAUGUUAUUGAUGGUCAACAGAAGACUGUGACCUUGAAUCUGAAGAUCUGUGAUGAAGACUGGACGUUUGGGGUCACUCUCUGUUACAGUACUACAAAUCUAAGUAAGUACUCAGUAAUAAUGUAAGACUGAACUCUGUA